GAUGAACGCUGGCGGCGUGCCUAAUACAUGCAAGUCGAGCGAAUGGAUUAAGAGCUUGCCCUUAUGAAGUUAGCGGCGGACGGGUGAGUAACACGUGGGUAACCUGCCCAUAAGACUGGGAUAACUCCGGGAAACCGGGGCUAAUACCGGAUAACGUUUUGAACCGCAUGGUUCGAAAUUGAAAGGCGGCUUCGGCUGUCACUUAUGGAUGGACCCGCGUCGCAUUAGCUAGUUGGUGAGGUAACGGCUCACCAAGGCAACGAUGCGUAGCCGACCCGAGAGGGUGAUCGGCCACACUGGGACUGAGACACGGCCCAGACUCCUACGGGAGGCAGCAGUAGGGAAUCUUCCGCAAUGGACGAAAGUCUGACGGAGCAACGCCGCGUGAGUGAUGAAGGCUUUCGGGUCGUAAAACUCUGUUGUUAGGGAAGAACAAGUGCUAGUUGAAUAAGCUGGCACCUUGACGGUACCUAACCAGAAAGCCACGGCUAACUACGUGCCAGCAGCCGCCGUAA
rnacentral:rRNA from 1 species